GAUCCUGGCUCAGAUUGAACGCUGGCGGCAGGCCUAACACAUGCAAGUCGAACGGUAACAGGAAGAAGCUUGCUUCUUUGCUGACGAGUGGCGGACGGGUGAGUAAUGUCUGGGAAACUGCCUGAUGGAGGGGGAUAACUACUGGAAACGGUAGCUAAUACCGCAUAACGUCGCAAGACCAAAGAGGGGGACCUUCGGGCCUCUUGCCAUCGGAUGUGCCCAGAUGGGAUUAGCUAGUAGGUGGGGUAACGGCUCACCUAGGCGACGAUCCCUAGCUGGUCUGAGAGGAUGACCAGCCACACUGGAACUGAGACACGGUCCAGACUCCUACGGGAGGCAGCAGUGGGGAAUAUUGCACAAUGGGCGCAAGCCUGAUGCAGCCAUGCCGCGUGUAUGAAGAAGGCCUUCGGGUUGUAAAGACCUUUCAGCGGGGAGGAAGGGAGUAAAGUUAAUACCUUCGCUCAUUGACGUUACCCGCAGAAGAAGCACCGGCUAACUCCGUGCCAGCAGUCGCGGUAAUACGGAGGGUGCAAGCGUUAAUCGGAAUUACUGGGCGUAAAGCGCACGCAGGCGGUUUGUUAAGUCAGAUGUGAAAUCCCCGGGCUCAACCUGGGAACUGCAUCUGAUACUGGCAAGCUUGAGUCUCGUAGAGGGGGGUAGAAUUCCAGGUGUAGCGGUGAAAUGCGUAGAGAUCUGGAGGAAUACCGGUGGCGAAGGCGGCCCCCUGGACGAAGACUGACGCUCACGUGCGAAAGCGUGGGGAGCAAACAGGAUUAGAUACCCUGGUAGUCCACGCCGUAAACGAUGUCGACUUUGCAGGUUGUGCCCUUGAGGCGUGGCUUCCGGAGCUAACGCGUUAAGUCGACCGCCUGGGGAGUACGGGCGCAAGGUUAAAACUCAAAUGAAUUGACGGGGGCCCGCACAAGCGGUGUAGCAUGUCGGUUU
rnacentral:rRNA from 1 species